GCUCGAACCCCCAACGAAAAAAAAAGAACCAAUAGUGAGGGAUGCCCAUCUCCUUUUUUCAGCCCCACUCUGCUGUUCGCGCGCCUUUAUUCGCUUAGUCGAUUUUAUUGCUGCUCUUGUCCAUCACGCUCUCCCACAUCGAUCUCAGUGUGGCGUGCCGUGCGCUUUACUCUGAGCAUCUUCCACGCCGAUCCCAUCCUCUCUCUUCCCCUCUCUCACGCUUGAGGAAUACCAAAACGCGCGCCCUCCUUCUCCUUUAGCUGCAUCUCGUUUCCGCCCCCGCCGCCGCCGUGGUGCCGACGCCCAGACAAGGACUGCAGCCACUGUACCCGUCGUGCCGCGUUUUCGCCGUUGAAAAGGCGUGCCGUUCGGGGAGCGCCUUGUGCAAGAACGCCAGCUCUGUCUUCUGCACCGGCAACGCUGUCCCCGCAAAGGGUGUGGCUGUCGCCGCAGGAGGCGACGCUGGUGGUGCUUGUAGCGUCGAGCACCGAUAAAGGCGCUUCGCUCUUUUUCCCUCCUUUUCCCUCUUCCUGUGCUUGAUGAUGCCCGUGCUGCUGCGCCGGGGCGUUAUGCAGCGCCCGCGAGCCGCUCUCCUCGUUGUGGCGCUAACCCUAUGCCUGCUCCUGUCUCCCGUGCGUGGCGCGGAAUCACCGUUCACCCACUACAGCGCCGUGCAGAAGGCAAACACGCGCAAGUUUCUGCAGGCCUUCGUGGACGCGAACCCGCUGCUUGAGAAGCUGCCGUCGGUGGACUUCUGCGAGUGGGUCUACUCUGAGUGCACGAGCAAGGGCGUGGAUCUGUACCUGGACGAGAGAGCCGUGGUGCAGCUGCCGGAGAUGUCCUCUGGCAUUGUUGGCAAAUAUGUUCUGGUCACUUCCAUCAAUCUCAGCUACGGCAAGAACACAUUGAAGGGCACGCUGCCGGCGAGCUGGGGGAGCCUGACGCACCUCGAGUACAUCUCCAUGUACUCGAACUCGCUGACGGGCACCCUGCCGCCGGAGUGGGCCAAUAUGAAGUCGGCGAAGUGGUUCCUGCUGUACCGCAACGAGCUGACGGGCACCAUUCCUGAGGCGUGGAGCCGUCUGCGCUACAUGACGUGGGCGUGCCUGAACGACAACAAUCUGACCGGAACACUCCCCUCGUCGUGGGGCAGCGCUCCGCAGCUGACGAUUGUUGAGGCCAGGAGAAAUCAGCUGACCGGCACAUUGCCGCCGACCUGGGGGAGCCUUCGGAAACUCAGCUCCAUCACGCUGACGGACAACAAUCUGACCGGGCCCCUUCCAGAGGAGUGGGCGUCUGCCCAGACGCUGUACGGUGUGUCCGUGGAGCGCAACAAUUUGUGCGGCUGUGUCCCGAAAUCGUGGGUGUCUCACAAUUUUCUCUAUGGCAUGCAAGUCGAUGACAGCCUCUUGGCCGCGGACUGUUCGACAGCCAACGCGUGCACCUCUUAGACUGCAACCACAAUGCUGCCCAUGACUACGGCUGCAACAACAUGUGCGCCUACGACGACCACCGUGAAAGCUUCGGCAAUUACCACAGUCUCGAGCAGAUUGCUCACAGUGACGACAAAGGCUCCGAGACCGUGCAGUGCUCUAAUCGCGUCAGCCUCGUGUCCGGUGGUAACUGCCGGUGGAUUUGAGUGCGGCGCAGGAGGCGCUCACGGUUUUUCAUGGGCGUAUGUGGCUGCCGCAUGUGGAAGGGGGUGACGCUUCCGCUGAGCGGUUUGCUUUCACUGCCAGUGUCCAAAGUCGGGUGGGCUGCGGUGAUGUAGGCUGCGGAUAACGGUCUUCUGGCGUUGGUUGGUGUGCUGGGAGGUGCGGUGCCGGCUGCGCAGCUUGCGCUGUGUCACCUUGGUGAGAUCGUGAGGAAUGCUGGGAAAAGAGAGGGGGAGAGUGCGAAGAGGGUAGGUGGCGGGGGACAAUGGCGGGCGAAACAACCGGGGCCAUGGGGGUAUGCUUUCGCUCUCGAGGAGUCGUUCGAGGAAAGUGCUGUGGGCUGGUGCCUGCGCUUUUCUGUAUCCCAGCCCCCUUCCUUCCGUCAUAGUCGUCGACACAUUUCGUGUUUCACCCGACUCUCUGCCCCUCCUCCUCCGUGCUGUUCUCGAUCUCGCCUCUGUCCUCCCUGCGCAGCCUACAGCGUCGUGCGCGUAGCGUCUCUUUGAGACUGCAGGCCUUUUUUUGUUCUUGUUGCGUUCUUGUUGGCUUUGCUUAUCCUUUCUUCUUCGAUCUCCGCCCCCCCCCCUCUCUCCCUCUCUCUCCCUCUCUCCCUCCCGUGCGUUGCUGAGUGUUUUUCUUUUCUGUUUGCGAGUGGUAUGGCGCCUCUCUCGCUGUCUCGGAUCAUGAAAAUGUCGACCAUCUUUCUUUCUGUGUGUACGCGUGCCACAAUCGAAUUCUAUCGUGCACGCGUUUUCUUUGUGUCUUUCACGUUGCCUCCGUGCCUUCUGCCUCUCUACACUCUUCACCAUGCUCCUCAUAGUGUUUCUCUUGUGUGUGCCCUUCGUGCCCCUUCCCUUCCCUUCCCUUCCCUUGCUACUCGAAGAAGGCAAACGUGCUGGAGGGGUGGGUGGGUGGGUGGGGGAGUGAUCAGGUGCAGCACACUCGAUGAAGAUGGAGCAGUGCGCCGCUGCCAUUGUGAGAUCAUCGCUCUCUUCCUUUGCUCUCUCACGCGCAUCCGGUAGUGCGGACAUAAAUGCGUCUGCGUCUGCAGUCGACGACAUGCCUUGCCGAGGGUGCCCACUGCUCUUAUUCAGGACUGCCAUGUGCACAUACUUGCACGCACAUCUUCACAAAAGGUGGCGCCGUCUCGCCGACUCGCCCGCCACUUCCCGCGUUUUCUCGUUUUGUGAUCUCCUUUUUUUUUGUACAGGCCUGCUUUCGGAGUCUUUUCAUUGUCCCGUCAGCUCGUCGGCCCAACUUUCUGCUUCGCCUCAUGUUUUGCUCGAGUAGUGUCGAUACACCGCGAGGCCCGCACAUACAGGCAUUUGCUGCAUGCGUCUCGGUGGAUGAGGCAGAGGCGAGCGACAGCAUCGGCGGCGGCAGCCAGGCAACGCUGCAUCUGGCGCUUCUGUGGGCGCGCCGGGUGCGUGCUGGCGCCUGCGCCAUGACUUUGGGCUCUUUCUUAGUAUCAGGCUUGCUCUACAGGAGAGAACGGCUGCCGUGCCUCUGCCUCAUUGGUGAGCGCACGCGCACGCCGUCUCUUUCACCGAUUCUACAUCUUUCCUGAACAGGGGUUGCACCCCGCACUGCAGCAGCUUCUCAUCGUUUUCUUUUUAAUUCGUCAUCUGACAGGGGGAGGGGUGAUGCCAGGAUCGGCGUCAGCGCGCUUCUAAGCCUGAAAUGCGACAGCGCCAAGCUUCUCUGUUGUUCGUUGUGCAGCUUGUCUGGGCCUGCCUGCCUCACUCUCUUAGCUCUUAAACACAGGUGGACACAUAACCGGGCAAGGCGAGAGGGGCGGCACCGGGGCACUUCGUAUGUCGAGGGAGUGUAGGCUGCGCCGCCUCAUUCAACCCUUUUUCUCCUCUAUAAGUUACUCCUCUUGCUCGAAUAUCGUUACUUUUCGGCUCUACGCUAGAGCCCCCCUCCCCCAUCGUGGGCGUCUUCUCGCGCUGCACGAAGGAAGUGCGCCCUCUGCAACCGUCUGACACAACCCGCACGCGAGUUGGGAUUGGGGUGGGGUGCAGACGAGCGCUUAUCUCUUUUCGUUCUGUUGUAGGUUUUUCACUCCCCCCCCCAUUAUGGAGGUGCGCGAUGCUGCGUACAACUCCGUUGCACGCAAGAAACCAAAACACGCCCAAAAGAAAAAGAGAAUUCCAUUCUGUGGAAUCGAGGUGAGGGCGAGAGCGCAGUAGCUGCAUGCCGCCUUCCUCCGUCAUGCGGACAUCUCUCUCUCUGUGCCCGAUAUGGGCGAUGGCGUGCAACAGGUAGGAAGCAUCGCUGCUUCACUCGCUCGAUCCCUCUCCUGGCCGCGCCAGGCGCACGGGUGUGUGCGCGGCGGUCUCUCAUACUAGACGCAUAUGCGGCGUUGCGUUGACGUGAGGGACGACGACGACCGUGAGUUCUGGUUUACCUGGGUGAGGCAAUAAGAAGCACCCUGUGCGCCGCAGCGCACCCCCACGGAAGCCAUUUGACUUUGGCCAGGCUCAUGUCUGGCUGCCCCAUGCUGCUCCGUCAACGCCCACACCUCUGCUUGCAUCCUCGGCCCUCUUUGCGGUGUCUGCCGCGGACGACGAAACAAACAAACAAACACAAAACGGACAUGACACAACUGCUCACCUCACACAUCGACACGCACCUGCGUUAG
rnacentral:misc_RNA from 1 species